GCACCUUGACUUUUUUAUUCUUUUGCUGUCAGUAUUUUAUGGUGGUUAUUAUUAUGAUGGUGAUGCUGAUAGCUGUAUGCAUAUGUACAAAUAAAUACAUUUUCAAAUGAUGGCAGUGGAAGGUUUUCCUGGAGAAUGAAGUGCGGUUCGGUUUCCUUGUCAACGGAAGAUGAAGUGAACAACUGAACAUCUCCCCAGUGCAGUGCAUCAGGAAAGUAUUUUUACAGAAGUGGAGUAAUAGAAUUGACAUCUUUGAAGCUAGGAACUUCCUAAUGAAAAGUUUGAAGUCUGAAAGGAUCUAUUUCAAAUUAAAUGUUUUGGAAGGUAAGACAAAGUACGUUUCAUGAUAUUGAAUCCUACAUGUAACAUGCAAGUUUUAAUGUAAAUUACUUUAGUCUUCUGAUAUUAGACUUAUUCCAUAA
rnacentral:lncRNA from 1 species